AACUGUCUCUGCUGGAGCUGCUCCUGCCUGGCUGCUCCCUUCAGUGUGGGAUGGAUGCCUGGACAAUGCAAUGCCCAUGGUCCAGUCCCAGCCACAGAGUGACUCAGUGCCUGGCCCUAAGAAACUGCAGAGUUACAGCUCAUCUUUGAUGGUCCUGAAGAAGA